rnacentral:rRNA from 1 species
UACGGAGGGAGCUAGCGUUGUUCGGAAUUACUGGGCGUAAAGCGCACGUAGGCGGCUUUGUAAGUUAGAGGUGAAAGCCCGGGGCUCAACUCCGGAACUGCCUUUAAGACUGCAUCGCUUGAAUCCAGGAGAGGUGAGUGGAAUUCCGAGUGUAGAGGUGAAAUUCGUAGAUAUUCGGAAGAACACCAGUGGCGAAGGCGGCUCACUGGACUGGUAUUGACGCUGAGGCGGCAAAAGCGUGGGGAGCAAACAGGAUUAGAAAACCCUGG